GAUGAACGCUGGCGGCGUGCCUAAUACAUGCGAGUCGAGCGAACGGACGAGAAGCUUGCUUUUCUGAUGUUAGCGGCGGACGGGUGAGUAACACGUGGAUAACCUACCUAUAAGACUGGGAUAACUUCGGGAAACCGGAGCUAAUACCGGAUAAUAUUUUGAACCGCAUGGUUCAAAAGUGAAAGACGGUCUUGCUGUCACUUAUAGAUGGAUCCGCGCUGCAUUAGCUAGUUGGUAAGGUAACGGCUUACCAAGGCAACGAUGCAUAGCCAACCUGAGAGCGUGAUCGGCCACACUGGAACUGAGACACGGUCCAGACUCCUACGGGAGGCAGCAGUAGGGAAUCUUCCGCAAUGGGCGAAAGCCUGACGGAGCAACGCCGCGUGAGUGAUGAAGGUCUUCGGAUCGUAAAACUCUGUUAUUAGGGAAGAACAUAUGUGUAAGUAACUGUGCACAUCUUGACGGUACCUAAUCAGAAAGCCACGGCUAACUACGUG
rnacentral:rRNA from 1 species